CUCCAACGUAAGCCAGCGCACAUCGAACUUGUUUACGGUAACCUGAGCUCCACAGCACCAAGUGAACUCUUUACGGAUAUACCUGCUUAAGACCUGGAUCCUGAAUCUCAUUCCCCCUGGCGAGCUGACAUCAUAACUCAGGAUAUAUUUCGUCCGUUCCGUUCCUGACUUUAUCCUCAAUAAACAACCUUUUAUUUUA